rnacentral:rRNA from 1 species
AUGAACGCUAGCUACAGGCUUAACACAUGCAAGUCGAGGGGCAGCAUUUCAGUUUGCUUGCAAACUGGAGAUGGCGACCGGCGCACGGGUGAGUAACACGUAUCCAACCUGCCGAUAACUCGGGGAUAGCCUUUCGAAAGAAAGAUUAAUACCCGAUGGUAUAAUCAGACCGCAUGGUCUUGUUAUUAAAGAAUUUCGGUUAUCGAUGGGGAUGCGUUCCAUUAGGCAGUUGGUGAGGUAACGGCUCACCAAACCUUCGAUGGAUAGGGGUUCUGAGAGGAAGGUCCCCCACAUUGGAACUGAGACACGGUCCAAACUCCUACGGGAGGCAGCAGUGAGGAAUAUUGGUCAAUGGGCGCAGGCCUGAACCAGCCAAGUAGCGUGAAGGAUGACUGCCCUAUGGGUUGUAAACUUCUUUUAUAUGGGAAUAAAGUUUUCCACGUGUGGAAUUUUGUAUGUACCAUAUGAAUAAGGAUCGGCUAACUCCGUGCCAGCAGCCGCGGUAAUACGGAGGAUCCGAGCGUUAUCCGGAUUUAUUGGGUUUAAAGGGAGCGUAGGUGGACAGUUAAGUCAGUUGUGAAAGUUUGCGGCUCAACCGUAAAAUUGCAGUUGAUACUGGCUGUCUUGAGUACAGUAGAGGUGGGCGGAAUUCGUGGUGUAGCGGUGAAAUGCUUAGAUAUCACGAAGAACUCCGAUUGCGAAGGCAGCUCACUGGACUGCAACUGACACUGAUGCUCGAAAGUGUGGGUAUCAAACAGGAUUAGAUACCCUGGUAGUCCACACAGUAAACGAUGAAUACUCGCUGUUUGCGAUAUACAGUAAGCGGCCAAGCGAAAGCAUUAAGUAUUCCACCUGGGGAGUACGCCGGCAACGGUGAAACUCAAAGGAAUUGACGGGGGCCCGCACAAGCGGAGGAACAUGUGGUUUAAUUCGAUGAUACGCGAGGAACCUUACCCGGGCUUAAAUUGCAUUUGAAUAUAUUGGAAACAGUAUAGUCGUAAGACAAAUGUGAAGGUGCUGCAUGGUUGUCGUCAGCUCGUGCCGUGAGGUGUCGGCUUAAGUGCCAUAACGAGCGCAACCCUUAUCUUUAGUUACUAACAGGUCAUGCUGAGGACUCUAGAGAGACUGCCGUCGUAAGAUGUGAGGAAGGUGGGGAUGACGUCAAAUCAGCACGGCCCUUACGUCCGGGGCUACACACGUGUUACAAUGGGGGGUGCAGAAGGCAGCUACCUGGUGACAGGAUGCUAAUCCCAAAAGCCUCUCUCAGUUCGGAUCGAAGUCUGCAACCCGACUUCGUGAAGCUGGAUUCGCUAGUAAUCGCGCAUCAGCCAUGGCGCGGUGAAUACGUUCCCGGGCCUUGUACACACCGCCCGUCAAGCCAUGAAAGCCGGGGGUACCUGAAGUACGUAACCGCAAGGAGCGUCCUAGGGUAAAACUGGUAAUUGGGGCU